GAUGAAGAACGCAGCGAAAUGCGAUACUUGGUGUGAAUUGCAGAAUCCCGUGAACCAUCGAGUCUUUGAACGCAAGUUGCGCCCGAAGCCAUUAGGCCGAGGGCACGCCUGCCUGGGCGUCACACGUCGUUGCCCCCCCAUCUACUCCUUCGGGAUUGCAGGGGGCGGAUGAUGGCCUCCCGUGCGCCUCGUCGCGCGGUUGGCAUAAAUGCCAAGUCCUCGGCGACGCACGCCACGACAAUCGGUGGUUGCGAAACCUCGGUUGCCCGUCGUGUGCGGUCGUCGCGCAUCGAGGGCUCGAAAAAAUUGUCGGGCUCCGGCUCGGCUUUCAACGCGACCCCAGGUCAGGCGGGGUUACCCGCUGAAUUUAAGCAUAUCAUAAGCGGAGGA
rnacentral:misc_RNA from 1 species